rnacentral:rRNA from 1 species
GGCCGCAGUAACUGACUGUGCUAGGUAGCAAAAUCAUUAGUCUUUUAAUUGAAGGCUAGUAUGAAAGAUUUGACAUAGGAUCAUCUGUCUCAGGAUUAAUUUUUAUAAUUUUAUAUUUAAGGUAAAAAAUCCUUAAAUUACUAAAAAGACGAUAAGACCCUAAAAUCUGCUAAAAAUCAAAAUAUUCCUUUAGACUAAGUACUUAUUUUAAAUUUAGUUUACUGGGGCGGUAAUUAUUAUUAAAACAAUAAUUUAAUAAACACGUUGAGUGAUUUGUUUUAACCUUAAUGAAUAAAAUAAGAUACUUUAGGGAUAACAGCAUAAUAUACUUUUAUAGUUCUUAUUGACAAGUAUGUUUAUGACCUCGAUGUUGAAUUGAAUUAUCUCCAUUUAGAAGAUUAAAUGUAAGAAAGUCUGUUCGACUUUUAAUAGUUCACAUGAUUUGAGUUCAAACCGGC